rnacentral:rRNA from 1 species
UACGAAGGGGGCUAGCGUUGCUCGGAAUCACUGGGCGUAAAGGGUGCGUAGGCGGGUUUCUAAGUCAGAGGUGAAAGCCUGGAGCUCAACUCCAGAACUGCCUUUGAUACUGGAAGUCUUGAGUAUGGCAGAGGUGAGUGGAACUGCGAGUGUAGAGGUGAAAUUCGUAGAUAUUCGCAAGAACACCAGUGGCGAAGGCGGCUCACUGGGCCAUUACUGACGCUGAGGCACGAAAGCGUGGGAGCAAACAGG